AGACUUGCAAAAAUCACAGUAACAGAGUGAAAAACCUUCCUGAAGUGUUAGGAGGAACUUGAGUCAUAAUUUGAUGUUGAAUCAGAGAGAACAAGUGUUUGGGCUUAUUUGCCUCAGAG
ensembl:misc_RNA